GCGAAAUCUUCGUGAAAAAUUUGGACUACAGCGUGGAUGACGAGUUCCUGCACGACUAUUUCCAACCCUUUGGAAGCGUCAUCAGAGCAAAGGUGAUCAUGGAGAAUGGGCGAUCGAGAGGCAGAGGAUUUGUACAGUAUACCACUCCUGACGAAGCCAGAAACGCCGUAGAAAUGCUGAACGGGAAGAUCCUGGGCGGGAGGCCAUUGCAUGUGGCGAUAAACAACGAGCAGCACAAGACUUCCUUUGCCUGGACGCAGAGGGUGCAGCAACAUCGUCGUCCCUGUGUCGCGCCAGCAACCAAAUAAAUUAAUAAACCUUGUCAAAAAUGUAACAAAA